ACGAACCUAGUAGCUCUGGCCCAGCCAACUCGCUCCCUCUGUCCCAGGUGAGAAGUGAGGUCGCCUCGAUGCCCCCUUUCUUGCCCUCCUUCCAGCUGUCACCUUGACCCUUGGCCCACCUCCCCGUCAAGCAUAAAAACGUGCACAAAGAACACAGGAUUUGGAUUUGCACAGAUUGUGGCUUUAAAUCUAGGUUGUGUGACCUUGAACAAAUUGUCCAACCUCUUGGCGUCAGGUUCCUUGUCCUUAAAGUGACUUGGGAGGAUUAGCGAUGACGCGUAAAACGCGUAGCACGGUGCCUGGUACAACGCGAGUUCGCAGCUAUUUUCACUCCCAACUAGCUGUGAUUGGAGCUGGGCCCCCCUCUUCCCGCCCCAGACUCGGCCCAACCUGGUUCGGGAGCUGCCUGUCUCCAGCCGCGAAAGGGGGAGGCGUCCCGGAGCAGCCGACCAGCCGCCCAGCCGACGGUCUCGCGCUCCGAUUUCCUCACCGUAUGAAAUGAAAUUCCACAGGGGGAUUCAAAAGGAAAUGAGACCGGGACGCUCCGUGCUGCUCGGCCCGCCGCCCUUCCUGUCUUGGGGACACGGUUUCUAAAUAAGGGGCUUUGUGUGCUCUACCCUCUCUCUGCUUUACCGUUAGCCGGUGAAACUCCCAGCAGGUGGAUUCCUAAACCGUUUACUUGUUGCCUGACUGUGGUGGAGCAACUGUGCCUCUCCAAGCCUCAAACUAACAUCUGGCCAACUUCUGAGGGAAGUUCAUGUCUACCUCACACAGUUGUUGAGAGAGUUAACUGAGAUAACGCCUGAAUGAACUCUCCGCAGUCAAGAGGAGGACCUGCUCCUCACACAGGGCACACAGAGAAGACAUCAUGAGUGCUGAGUGAAAGAAUGCUAUUACCAACUCAAUAAAAAUAAAAGAGAACUCAUGUAGAACCCUGA